UUGAAGUCGAUUAUUAUUAUGGUUCUACUGGCUCUAACUCUUCUUCUACUUCCGGUGGUGUUGCCGCCAUUAUCACCGCCGCCGUUUUUGUUCUUGUUUAUUCCUGUUUUUAUUAUGUGUCUUCUUAUUUUCUUGGCUUUUUCUCCAUCACAUGAACACAAUAUUGCUGUUUCUACCGUUUGAUAUUCAUAAAUAGAAAGAAACAAGAAUUCUCUACGCCGGAAUUUCUCGUCGGAAAUUCAAGAAAAGCCUGAAACCACCAAAUCCAGAUCUCUGAGGAAGAGAAAGAGCGAGAUUUGUGUACGAAAGAAGAAGGAAACGGAUAAGCAUAUCUAUAUAGAUACUUUAUCUUUGUUUUCUUCUCCUCUAAAUGGAAGCUUGAGGAAGAAGAUGAAGGAGGCAGAGAGAGAGAUAUGCAUUAUCAUUUUGAUAAUGUAUUCUUUCUUGGUUUGAUUUGGGAUAUUCAUUCUGAUAAUUUCAAGAAGGCAGUGACAGUAUUUAGUGUAAAUAAAUAAAAAUUUGUGAUGUUAAUUAAGUAAUUAAUUAAAAAUAGUUUUAGCUUAAUAUGAAUAUCUUGGUCAUCUACUAUC